CCUACGGGAGGCAGCAGUGAGGAAUCUUGGUCAAUGGGCGCGAGCCUGAACCAGCCAAGUCGCGUGAGGGAAGACGGCCCUACGGGUUGUAAACCUCUUUUGCCGGGGAGCAACGGGCGCCACGUGUGGCGCCACUGAGAGUACCCGGAGAAAAAGCCUCGGCUAACUCCGUGCCAUCAGCCGCGGUCAUACGGAGGAUGCGAGCUUUAUCCGGAUUGAUUGGGUUAAAAGGGUGCAUAGGCGGAGCGUUAAGUCAGUGGUCAAGUUGAGGGGCUCAACCCCUUCCCGCCAUUGAAACUGGCGCUCUUGAGUGGAAGAGAGGUAUGCGGAAUGCGUGGUGUAGCGGUGAAAUGCGUAGAUAUCACGCAGAACCCCGAUUGCGAAGGCAGCAUGCCGGCUUCCUACUGACGCUGAAGCACGAAAGCGUGGGGAUCGAACAGGAUUAGAUACCCCAGUAGUC
rnacentral:rRNA from 1 species